UACAGAGGUCUCAAGCGUUGUUCGGAUUCAUUGGGCGUAAAGGGUGCGUAGGCGGCGCGGUAAGUCGGGUGUGAAAUCUCGGAGCUUAACUCCGAAACUGCAUUCGAUACUGCCGUGCUUGAGGACUGGAGAGGAGACUGGAAUUUACGGUGUAGCGGUGAAAUGCGUAGAUAUCGUAAGGAAGACCAGUGGCGAAGGCGGGUCUCUGGACCAAUACUGACGCUCAGGUGCGAAAGCGUGGGGAGCAAACAGG
rnacentral:rRNA from 1 species